rnacentral:rRNA from 1 species
CAGCCGCCACGGUAAUACGAAGGGUGCAAGCGUUAAUCGGAAUUACUGGGCGUAAAGCGUGCGUAGGCGGUGAGUUAAGUCUGCUGUGAAAUCCCCGGGCUCAACCUGGGAAUGGCAGUGGAUACUGGCUCGCUAGAGUGUGUCAGAGGAUGGUGGAAUUUCCGGUGUAGCAGUGAAAUGCGUAGAGAUCGGAAGGAACAUCUGUGGCGAAGGCGACUAUCUGGGCCAACACUGACACUGAGGCACGAAAGCGUGGGGAGCAAACAGGAUUAGAUACCCGGGUAGUCCCUGUCUCUUAUAC